UUUUAUCAAGUGGUAGGAGAGCGUUCUAUUUGCGUCGAAGGUAUACCGGUAAGGAGUGCUGGAGCGAAUAGAAGUGAGCAUGCAGGCAUGAGUAGCGAUAAUUAAUGUGAGAAUCAUUAACGCCGUAAACCCAAGGUUUCCUACGCGAUGCUCGUCAUCGUAGGGUUAGUCGGGUCCUAAGUCGAGUCCGAAAGGGGUAGACGAUGGCAAAUUGGUUAAUAUUCCAAUACCAACAUUAGUGUGCGAUGGAAGGACGCUUAGGGCUAAGGGGGCUAGCGGAUGGAAGUGCUAGUCUAAGGUCGUAGGAGGUUAUACAGGCAAAUCCGUAUAACAAUACUCCGAGAACUGAAAGGCUUUUUGAAGUCUUCGGAUGGAUAGAAGAACCCCUGAUGCCGUCGAGCCAAGAAAAGUUUCUAAGUUUAGCUAAUGUUGCCCGUACCGUAAACCGACACAGGUGGGUGGGAUGAGUAUUCUAAGGCGCGUGGAAGAACUCUCUUUAAGGAACUCUGCAAAAUAGCACCGUAUCUUCGGUAUAAGGUGUGGUUCGCUUCGUAUUAGGAUUUACUCCGAAAGCGAAGAAACUUACAACAAAGAGUCCCUCCCGACUGUUUACCAAAAACACAGCACUCUGCUAACUCGUAAGAGGAUGUAUAGGGUGUGACGCCUGCCCGGUGCUCGAAGGUUAAUUGAUGGGGUUAGCAUUAGCGAAGCUCUUGAUCGAAGCCCGAGUAAACGGCGGCCGUAACUAUAACGGUCCUAAGGUAGCGAAAUUCCUUGUCGGUUAAAUACCGACCUGCAUGAAUGGCGUAACGAGAUGGGAGCUGUCUCAAAGAGGGAUCCAGUGAAAUUGUAGUGGAGGUGAAAAUUCCUCCUACCCGCGGCAAGACGGAAAGACCCCGUGGACCUUUACUACAGCUUGACACUGCUAUUUGGAUAAGAAUGUGCAGGAUAGGUGGGAGGCUUUGAGUAUAUGACGCCAGUUGUAUAUGAGCCAUUGUUGAGAUACCACUCUUUCUUAUUUGGGUAGCUAACCAGCUUGAGUUAUCCUCAAGUGGGACAAUGUCUGGUGGGUAGUUUGACUGGGGCGGUCGCCUCCCAAAUAAUAACGGAGGCUUACAAAGGUUGGCUCAGAACGGUUGGAAAUCGUUCGUAGAGUAUAAAGGUAUAAGCCAGCUUAACUGCAAGACAUACAAGUCAAGCAGAGACGAAAGUCGGUCUUAGUGAUCCGGUGGUUCUGUGUGGAAGGGCCAUCGCUCAAAGGAUAAAAGGUACCCCGGGGAUAACAGGCUGAUCUCCCCCAAGAGCUCACAUCGACGGGGAGGUUUGGCACCUCGAUGUCGGCUCAUCGCAUCCUGGGGCUGGAGCAGGUCCCAAGGGUAUGGCUGUUCGCCAUUUAAAGCGGUACGCGAGCUGGGUUCAGAACGUCGUGAGACAGUUCGGUCCCUAUCUGCCGUGGGCGUAAGAAGAUUGAAGAGAUUUGACCCUAGUACGAGAGGACCGGGUUGAACAAACCACUGGUGUAGCUGUUGUUCUGCCAAGAGCAUCGCAGCGUAGCUAAGUUUGGAAAGGAUAAACGCUGAAAGCAUCUAAGCGUGAAGCCAACUCUAAGAUGAAUCUUCUCUAAGCUCUCUAGAAGACUACUAGUUUGAUAGGCUGGGUGUGUAAUGGAUGAAAGUCCUUUAGCUGACCAGUACUAAUAGAGCGUUUGGCUUAUCUUUAAUAAAGCAU
rnacentral:rRNA from 1 species